rnacentral:rRNA from 1 species
UACGUAGGGUGCAAGCGUUAAUCGGAAUUACUGGGCGUAAAGCGUGCGCAGGCGGUUGUGCAAGACAGAUGUGAAAUCCCCGGGCUCAACCCUGGGAAUUGGCAUUUGUGACUGCACGGCUAGAGUGUGUCAGAGGGGGGUAGAAUUCCACGUGUAGCAGUGAAAUGCGUAGAGAUGUGGAGGAAUACCGAUGGCGAAGGCAGCCCCCUGGGAUAACACUGACGCUCAUGCACGAAAGCGUGGGAGCAAACAGG